GGUCUCUGCAGUAUGACGCGGGCUGGAUCUCUCGGGGUUACAGCCUUGCUGAAUUAUUCACCCUUGUCUUUUGCGUACUUCUUGUUUCCUUGGUGGGUUCGCCCACCACUAGGACAAACAUAAACCUUUUGUAAUUGCAAUCAGCGUCAGUAACAAAUUAAUAAUUACAACUUUCAACAACGGAUCUCUUGGUUCUGGCAUCGAUGAAGAACGCAGCGAAAUGCGAUAAGUAGUGUGAAUUGCAGAAUUCAGUGAAUCAUCGAAUCUUUGAACGCACAUUGCGCCCUUUGGUAUUCCAAAGGGCAUGCCUGUUCGAGCGUCAUUUGUACCCUCAAGCUUUGCUUGGUGUUGGGCGUCUUGUCUCUAGCUUUGCUGGAGACUCGCCUUAAAGUAAUUGGCAGCCGGCCUACUGGUUUCGGAGCGCAGCACAAGUCGCACUCUCUAUCAGCAAAGGUCUAGCAUCCAUUAAGCCUUUUUUCAACUUUUGACCUCGGAUCAGGUAGGGAUACCCGCUGAACUUAAGCAUAUCAAUAAGCGGAGGAAAGCGCGUCCCAUAUUAAUAAUGCGGACGAAACUCUCCCCGGGGUUAAAACCUUGCUGAAAUAUUCCCCUUGUCUUUUGCGUACUUCUUGUUUCCUGGUGGGUUCCCCACCACUAGGACAACCUUAAACUUUUGUUAUGCAUUACGUUAGUAACAAUUAAUAAUUUCACUUUCAACACCGGA
rnacentral:rRNA from 1 species